UACGGGGGGGGCAAGCGUUGUUCGGAAUUACUGGGCGUAAAGGACUCGUAGGUGGCCAACUAAGUCAGACGUGAAAUCCCUCGGCUUAACCGGGGAACUGCGUCUGAUACUGGAUGGCUUGAGUUCGGGAGAGGGAUGCGGAAUUCCAGGUGUAGCGGUGAAAUGCGCAGAUAUCAGGAGGAACACCAAUUGCGAAGGCAGCUCGCUGGGACGUUACUGACGCUGAGACGCGAAAGCGUGGGGAGCAAACAGG
rnacentral:rRNA from 1 species